GAUGAACGCUAGCGGCAGGCCUAAUACAUGCAAGUCGGACGGGAUUUGGGAGCUUGCUCCCAAUGAGAGUGGCGCACGGGUGCGUAACACGUAUGUAACCUACCUUAAUCAGGGGGAUAGCCUCUCGAAAGAGAGAUUAACACCGCAUAACAUCAUGAGAUAGCAUUAUUUUGUGAUCAAAUAUUUAUAGGAUUAAGAUGGGCAUGCGGGACAUUAGCUAGUUGGCGGGGUAACGGCCCACCAAGGCGACGAUGUCUAGGGGAUCUGAGAGGAUGGCCCCCCACACUGGUACUGAGACACGGACCAGACUCCUACGGGAGGCAGCAGUAAGGAAUAUUGGUCAAUGGGCGCAAGCCUGAACCAGCCGUGCCGCGUGCAGGAAGACGGCCCUACGGGUUGUAAACUGCUUUUGUACCGGAAUAAACCUUGAUAUGUAUAUCAAGCUGAAUGUACGGUAAGAAUAAGGAUCGGCUAACUCCGUGCCAGCCGCCGCUGUAA
rnacentral:rRNA from 1 species